CCGAGUGCAGGGAACCGGGCCGGCUUCCUGGGGACAAAGAGGGACUGCCCGGGACAGAAACACCAACCAAAACAAACUCUCCAGGCUGCUGCGGGAAACACAGGCGCAGGCCGGGGCGGAGGAGGGGGAGGCAAGCGAAGCACCUGGCACCUAGCCAAGGAUAGCCUUGGCGGCACAGCUCACUCAGCUAGGGAGCGUGAAACCAGCCAGGUCAGUUUCCUGCCAUUCCUCUUUCUAAGACAGGGCUGCAGGGCUUGCAUUACAGAACCACAGAGGGACUCUUGCAGGCUGCUCUGACCUGCAUGGAGGUGGUCUAAGAACGGGACCUGCGAACUCCGGAGACCUGCUCCUAGGCAGAUCUGCAUGGGAGCAGGCCCUGGAAAGACGUGCUUGGUUUUAGUAGAUCAGGGCCUACAGUACGUUGGUUUAUUCUCAGGUGGUGACAUCUCGGCCCGACUGAUGUCAACAGCAAGACGCCAGGCCAGCCAUUGUCCCUGCAGAGCCGACACAGCUCCAGGAGAGCUGGUGUGAGUCCAGCCCCUGGCACCAACACACUAGGGUCUGAUGCAGAGUCCAGGAAAAUGCUGCCGGUCAGCAGGCAGGAAAACCCCUCAGGUCACAUGAGCCACUAAGCACGCCUGGGCCCGGCCCCGCCCCGCUGUGCCGCUUCCAGGCAGAUCGGCACUUUCAGUCCAAAACGCACCCGAUUCGCUCCAGUCCGUCCAGCAAAGCGAUCCCUGGGAACCCAUCUGUCCCCAUUAGGGAUCGAACAUCCCUCUCAUGUUUUCCUCAUUCCCACCCAGACGCCAGGCACCGGGGCCCUCGGCACAGAGCAGAGGUGUUGCCCAGGAACCAAGGCAAGUCCUAGCCAGAUUGAAGCGAACGGCUGGGGCCAGGAUGGGGAUAUUUUAAAGGGCUUCCCUCCCUCCACUGGCCCCAUCUAGCUCCUCCCGGGGGAAUAAAUCAGAUUGGGAUUGCAUGGGGCAUUCUUCUCUGGCUACACAGCCGUGUCUCCCUGCUAGGCACAGGCCCUGGGUCUCUGCAGCUGGCCUCAGCACAUCCAGAGGGAGGAAGUGUGAGGCACAGGACAGGGAUCCAGGACUCCUGGGUUCUCUUCCCAUCUCUGACUCGGAUUUCCUCUGAGGUCUUGGGCAAGUCACGUAACUGUUCCGUGCCUCAGUUUCCCCCGAUGUAAAAUAGGGGCAGGGCUGUGUCAGAGGCACCUAGGGCUCCUCCCACAAGCCCAUUCUCACAUGCUUGUGGCCCAAUCCAACCAGUUAUUGCCGUGCUAUCUCCCACAGCACCCCACACUCAGCCCGGCCGAUGGCUGAUCUACACAGCCAGCGGGCACAAAGCAGGGCUGGAUCCAAGACGGUUCAGCUGGCCCAGUGCAGAGCUGGAAGGGUCAGGGACUGAUCCUGCGUGGACCUCAUAAGGGGCAGGAUCAGGGGGGCCCUGGAGAGAUCCCAGAGACCGGCAGCUACCGCGCAUUUCCCCAGGGGGCUGUGUCAGUCCCCAGCUCCCUACACCACGGGGGCACGGGCUGGCAUACGGCGGCGACCCCGCCAGGCAGCAUUCAAGAAUCGCCACGUGCCUGAGCUGAGACAGGCUGCCCACGGCUGGGCACAGACAAAGCCGAUCGUCAGCUGCUGCCUGGUGCACUCCCAGGAGACCCACCAGCUGGGUAAAAUACCCACACAAUGGGCCGGGCCUCAGUUGGCAGAAGAGCGCCAGCAAACCCAGCACUGGGGGGCUGGCUGGCUCACGGCAUUUCCUUUGCAGGGGGACCUCCACGCCCCCGGGUUUCAGCCCUGUCUUAAGCUGUCUGGCACUCGCACUUCUGAACCCUGCUGCAGAUGCCAGCACUGCGUAGGCGCUGCCCGCCAGCCCUUGGCAAGUCCCAGCAAAGCCCCUGGCCAGCCUGUAUCUUCCGCCGUGGGUUGUCUGUCCGACAUGGAGCAUGGAGCGGUCCGGAGUCCCUAAGAACCCCCUCCAGAUGCACGGGACUGCCUGAGCCCGCUGGGGCGGAAAUCUUGCUUUCUUCUGAGAUUUCUAGAAAUCCCUUCGGACCAUUGGACCGGCAAGUACAGACGGGGAAAAAGGAGGAAAUCCUGUGGGUGCAUGGAUACCGGUGUGCACACACACGGGUCAGUCAUUUUAUUUAAGCCGAUUCAUCGCUCCUUAAUCCAGGCCAACUCUCCCCAGGGCACCUUCUUCCCUACACUUUGCUGCACACAAACCAACAGCCUCGCAACCACCAGCCACCCUACAAUAACAAACCAGGGUCUGCAAGCGUCACCUGUGCGCUCCGGAGCAACGCUACGACAGCGACACACGGCACCUCUAGCAGCUCCCUGGCGCAUCCCACCAGCCACCCUACAACAACAACCCGAGAAGUGUGACCACCCAAACCGGACCCACAAUGCAGGCAAACAAACUUCCAGUGCGGAAGGAAGCGGAUUUGCCUUUGAACUUCCAAAGCGGCUGCUGUUAGAAGCAAGAGCGAGGAUUUUCGAUCACGCUAUUAAGACCGUUCUCUCGCCGCCUCCUUUCCAGCUGGCAAAGGGGCACAAACCCGUGCACCCCAGAGCCCCUGAUUGGAAAGGGGAGGAGAUCGGGAAGGGACCCUCGCCUCCCCCCGACCCCACAGCUCAGUCCUGCUAGCUGCCCUGUGCCUCGAGGUUCUCCUCUCUGGGGUUAUUUCCUGGUGCAGCAGGGAACACAGGAAGCCGGCAUUGUUACAGCCUGAAUAAGCUUUUCCUUCUCGGCAGAGCCAUCGGAAAAUGAGCACAGAGCAGGGGUGCACCUGACCGCCCUGAUAACAGGGACUUGGCCGGGCCAAGGAGCUUGCGGCUCGCUGCCCGGUGACUUCACCUCUCCACAGAUCCAUAUCAGUGCGGCUUGAAUUGCGCCGGGGUCUGCCAGCUCAUAUCCUCCCCUCCGUCCGUGCACGUGUUCCUCCGCCAUUAUACACAUGCCUCGGGCAGCACGUGGGAGAGAGAGAGAACGGCCUUCCAUAGCUGCAGCCCCAUCCAGCCUACAGCAAAACCUUUCCCACUCCCUGAUGAAAUGCAGCCACCUCUGAGGUGGAGCGGAGCCGCUGUUAAACAGCUACACCCAACACCCCCAUUUAAGUCAGGAAGCAGAGAACGCCUGCUCCAGCUAGAAGAACAGAAGGAAUUUAAGUCACAAACAUCCCCACCCCCGCACAGAAAGCAUCUUUAAUGAGCACAAGGUCUCAGGCCUGAGUCUCAUCCAAGAGGAAGCACCGCGCCCAUUGGCAUUAUACGCAGCCCGGCACGGACUCCGAAAGGCAAACCGGGAAGUACCCUGUGCCGAAUGGGUAACGUUACUGGCUGCGGUACCAGGGAACCUCCACCUACUCACUGUAUUCUAGCAGCAUGUUUAGAGGGCUCGAGCGAGAUCCACGUGCCACCGUGCUAGGUGCAGUACAUGCAUAGAGUAAGAGAACGUCCCCGCCCUGCUGGCAAUCGAUCAUCGACACAGCCACAAGCAGGAUGUGAUCCCCGGAGAGACUAAGUGACUGGGCCAAGAGCCUGUGGCAGGACCAGAAAUUUAGCCCUGAUCUCCUGAAUCCCACUCCAGGGCCUUACCCACCAGGCCAGGCCAGGGCCAACCCAGCCUGGCUAGUGCAGUCGGACAUGAUCCCGCCCAGGGUGGGCAGCGCGACAUGCGCACAGCUGCUGCGGGACCCAGGCCCCACGGGCGGCAGAUCCGGGCCCACGGCAAGUGCCAACAGACCCUUUCUUUUUAAUCCUGGCCCUGGGUUUCCCACUAACCAGGACCUGCCCUUGCUGAACGCAGAUUUCUCUUUCCUCCCCCUGGCCAAGAGAGCGAGGAAAGCUCCAGCCAAAAGGCUGCCAGCCAAUCAGCGUGUGCCACUGGCAUCUGGAGGGGGGUGGCUGGGGGAUCAUGCCCUGGGCAAUGCCAGCUUUGGAACUGCCACCAGCUGCUUGGGACAGCUGCGGGGCUGGAGUGCUGGGAAUGAUGCAUAUGUCAGGGUCAGCUAAGCUCCGGCCCUCUAGCCUAACAAAUGCAGAAGUUAAUAGCGCCAUCUACUGGUGGAAGGAUAGUAUCGGGUUCUUCUUUAUUUGCAUCUUCUUACCCCAGGGCAUUAUGGGAGAAGAGGACAAAUCAUUCUUAUUGUUUAUGCCAACUAUGUCAAGUUGAGAUGCAGGUGAACAGGUGACUGAUCCUGGAGUUUUUUUUAGGUAGGCUUUGAUUGGGGUGGGUGGAUAACAGUUAAAACGGGGUCACCACAACAUGCAAAGUCCUGGGAAGAAGUUUCCAGAGGUGCUGUAGGGA